GAUCAUGGCUCAGGAUGAACGCUAGCUACAGGCUUAACACAUGCAAGUCGAGGGGCAGCGCAGUGUAGCAAUACAUGGGCGGCGACCGGCGCACGGGUGCGUAACGCGUAUCCAACCUUCCCGUUACUCAGGGAUAGCCUUCCGAAAGGAGAUUAAUACCUGAUGGUGUUCAAAUUCCGCAUGUUAUUUGAACUAAAGAUUUAUCGGUAACGGAUGGGGAUGCGUGACAUUAGCUAGAUGGCGGGGUAACGGCCCACCAUGGCGACGAUGUCUAGGGGUUCUGAGAGGAAGGUCCCCCACACUGGAACUGAGACACGGUCCAGACUCCUACGGGAGGCAGCAGUGAGGAAUAUUGGUCAAUGGAGGCAACUCUGAACCAGCCAAGUAGCGUGAGGGAUGACUGCCCUACGGGUUGUAAACCUCUUUUGUCGGGGAAUAAACCGCGCCACGUGUGGCGCCCUGCAUGUACCCGCAGAAUAAGGACCGGCUAAUUCCGUG
rnacentral:rRNA from 1 species